rnacentral:rRNA from 1 species
ACCUGAUGCAGCCAUGCCGCGUGUGUGAAGAAGGCCUUCGGGUUGUAAAGCACUUUCAGUUGUGAGGAAAAGUUAGUAGYUAAUACCUGCUAGCCGUGACGUUAACAACAGAAGAAGCACCGGCUAACUCCGUGCCAGCAGCCGCGGUAAUACGGAGGGUGCGAGCGUUAAUCGGAAUUACUGGGCGUAAAGCGCACGCAGGCGGUUUGUUAAGCUAGAUGUGAAAGCCCCGGGCUCAACCUGGGAUGGUCAUUUAGAACUGGCAGACUAGAGUCUUGGAGAGGGGAGUGGAAUUCCAGGUGUAGCGGUGAAAUGCGUAGAUAUCUGGAGGAACAUCAGUGGCGAAGGCGACUCCCUGGCCAAAGACUGACGCUCAUGUGCGAAAGUGUGGGUAGCGAACAGGAUUAGAUACCCUGGUAGUCCACACCGUAAACGCUGUCUACUAGCUGUGUGUGCCUUUAAGGCGUGCGUAGCGAAGCUAACGCGCUAAGUAGACCGCCUGGGGAGUACGGCCGCAAGGUUAAAACUCA